rnacentral:rRNA from 1 species
UGCUUAACACAUGCAAGUCGAACGCCAAAGUCCCUUCGGGGAUGAGUAGAGUGGCAGACGGGUGAGUAACGCGUGGGAAUCUACCUGAUAGUACGGAAUAGCCCCGGGAAACUGGGAUUAAUACCGUAUAUUCUCUUCGGAGGAAAGAUUUAUCGCUAUCAGAUGAGCCCGCGUUAGAUUAGGUAGUUGGUGGGGUAAAGGCUCACCAAGCCAACGAUCUGUAGCUGGUCUGAGAGGACGACCAGCCACACUGGAACGGAGACACGGUCCAGACUCCUACGGGAGGCAGCAGUGGGGAAUUUUGGACAAUGGACGCAAGUCUGAUCCAGCCAUUCCGCGUGCAGGACGAAGGCCUUCGGGUUGUAAACUGC